CCGCCCGCCCGGCGCCCCCCCCGCCGCCCGGCAGCAGCAGCAGCAGCGCCUCAGACCCGCCACCCCAUCGCUGGAUGUUCCUCCACUUUACCCACCGUAUCAAACAACUUUUACCAGUAAAUAUCGGUUUAUUCCUGAAACCAGAAGCCCUAAACAUACCUUUGUUUAUAAGGUCAGUUGGCAUUUUGUCUCUCUCGUUCCCCACUCCUCCCCCAGUACAACCCAGCAGGUGAUUGAAAGGUACCGAGUUCUCUUUCUAGUUUUCCUGCUCUGCAUCUCUGGGAACUGGAGCCCGCAGGACCUAGAGCCUUCUGUUGGUAACGUAGACCCGAGUUUACAAAUUAUUCUUUUACCAUUUUAAAUCCUGCUUUUAAGGACAGAGGUGUUCCCUCCUGCCCACCACGGGGAGUGGUAGAAACCCCUGGCAAUGCCUAAAUUGCUCCUCCUCUCCGAAGCCUGCGGGUAGGUCUCUCACAAGCAUCUUCAGGCUUGGGGCUGAGAAAACAAUUUGAUCCCCAAAUAUACACUAAAAAAACUGCCAUUUCUGGUUUACAGUGAGCAGGACUGGGGGAGGGAAGGGCGGGAAAGGAGUUUGGAAAUUAUUUCCCCCCCCCCAAACCCCUUUUUUUUUUCCUAGAAAGCAAACGUGACAUGGGGAGGAGGGAAAGGAUUUUGAACAUGGCCCUUCCUAAACUCACUGUAAACUCUUCCUCCAAGGCUGGGAGAAAGGGCAAGUGAAAGUUCUGAUCCUUAAAAGGACAUUGCUGGGUGUCUGGGACCCCAAAAGCAGCUGGUGAUUUGUAAGGAUGGGAAUCACUUUUGGUUUAUCGCAAGACAAAUAGACUUGGGAGUGAGUAUUGAAGCCUCCAAGUGUUUGUCACCCAAACACAGCAGCAUUUUGCUAAAACACCAGAAACAGAGAAGCUGGUGAGGGAUAGAAAAUGAAUUGACUGCAUGGUCCCUGCCAAUUUUUUUUUUUGUCUCCCAAGCAAACAAAAUAAAAAAAAGAAAAAAUCCAAACCCAUCCCGGACCCCCAAAAAAGGUAACCUCCCAAAAAAGCAAGUCAAAGAGGGUCUCAAACAUCCAGGUUUUGUAGUGUGUGGUUGUCAGGGGUGUUUCUGGCAUAGCUGCAGCCCAACCAUGUCCCUUUAAGGAGCACCAUGGCUCGUUUCCUCCUCACGAAGCCCAAGCUGAGGGUUGUGCCGUUCCUGAAGCUCCUGCAGCCUUAGUUGGAGUCCAGAAUGAGGGGAGCCCUUCCAGCUGUGCACUUUGAGCUGAAAACUACCUUUCCUCCCCUUUUGCAGCCUGGGUGGUUCUGAUUGCUGGCAGUUCUGUAAUACAACCUUAAUCUGAGCAGUUGAGGCUGGUCCUACCUUAUCUUCAGACGUCUUGCGGAGGACUCCUGUUACCAGUUUGGUACUCAAAAGCUCCACCCCACCAUCAGAAGUCACUUUUUGUUUUUUUCCAAAGGCAGUGAUAGCUCACCCUCUCUAGCUCUAAUGGAAAACAUGAUAAUUGCAAUGCAACUUUCUAAUAAAUUGUUCAUAUAUUCAUAAUUCCGUUGCAAUCCCAAAUUGGAGAAGAGAUCUGUUAAAGGUAUAUAUUAGUCUAGAUUUUUCUUAUUGUAAAUACUGUAAUUUUAUAAUACUGUCAAUAUUUUAUUAACUUAGAAAUAUUUAACAGAGUUUAAUCUAUGGUAGUUGAUUUAUUUAUAGGUUUAUGUUGCAGCCAAUUACAUUCUAAUGUAAGAUUAACUUUCAGCAUGUAAACAUUGAGUGAAUAUAUCAUUGGAAAGAUUAAGAGAGAAAACUCUUGCUCUUAAUCUGUAAUAUUUACUCCCAGUUCCCAGUUGGGAAUUAUUUCAUGAAAUAUUAGGAGGUUUUAAGAGCUCAUGAACCUAAAAACUGCAGCUGGAUUUGAAAACUUGAAUUUUGAGAUGUACCUGGCUCUUUCACCUUGUGAACAAGUUCACUUCAGUACCUGCUCUCUGUAGCACGGAAGUCUUUAUUUUGAGCAAAGGGACACUGUCAGAUCAAUUUUAGAUUUUUGGGUGGGGUUUUUUUUUUGGGGGGGGGAAGGCUAGGGGAGCCAAAACGCAGCCCCGGUGCGUGUGUGUUAAUUCCUUUUGGAUCACAAGGGGAACAGCUCUCUCCUGAGGCUUUGGGCCCCUGGGCGGAGCAUUCCCGCAGCUGGGAAUGCCGCAUCCUUCAUCCCUGCGGCCGGGCAGGGGUGGAGCUGCGGCCACUCCGAGGGGUCCCCGCAGUCCCGCGUUCCCGGCAGCGGCCGCCGUCGGAGCUCGGGGACGAGGGCAGAGCUGCACAAAGACUAAAACCUGAUGGGUUUUGACCAAAGUUUUUUUUUAGUUUUAAGUCUCUCUCUCUCUUUUCUCCUGAUGGUGUCCCUUUAGCAUCAUAAAGAUGUUCUCUGAAAACCAUGAGAAGUGAUUUUCUUUCCGAGGCAGGGGAGAAUUUGGUCUGUCACGUGUUUGCAACGCAACUUGCAUAAAAAUACCAAAAAUAUGCCGAGGGUUUUCACAGGCGUUGGUAUCUUUUUGGAGUGUAAAAGUUAAUCUUGAUUAGAGAUGUGCCAAUCUAUACUGCUUUCCUGUAGUGUUGUUACACUUAGGCAUUUCAGUUCACUUACAAAUAUAUACUGUAACAGUAUACUUUGUACAGAUUUAUUUAAAAAAAAAAUUAUUUGAAAACUGAAAUAAAGUAGGCAGAAAAUAAAGAUAUUUAUUUUUCAUUUGACUAUGUAAGAAGGUAUCAUUCUUUUGGUUUUAGUGCACUGGUGUACCAAGGCUCAGAACCACUGCUUUCUCCAGCUCAUAGGAUGCUUUUCCAGACUGUGGAUACGUGUAUGUGUACUGCUGUGUUGAUAAGUAAAAACCAACGAUGGAGUUCGUUGCUUUUAUACAUCCCAAAGAGAAGUUCUCCACCGUUCCCUGUCUGUUUUCUGACCGAAAAGGCGUGUUUGUGAACAGUGUUCACGCGAGCUCUGCCAUCCCACCCUCACAUCAGCUCACACCAAUGCCAGGAUGGGAGGAGUUGCCAGCGGACCUGCCCCAAAAACACCCCGGGCCGCAGUGGCAUCGUCAGGGAGCAGUUCAAACCUGUGUCCUUUGGGCUUUGUGUAAAGCAAACGCAGAACAAGAAAAAAAUCGAGAUGUUAAAUCCAUUAGAAAACCAAUUCCUUAUUGUACAGUAGUAUGGAGAUCUCUAGUCAACCUGCCAUUAAUAAUAGAUUCUUAUUUUUUGAAUGAUCUAUUUAAAAGAACAGCAAGCAUUGUAUUUGCUAGUAAAUCUGAAGUGUUUACAUGGAAUUACUAAAUAAAUUAUUUGAUCUAA